AAAAAAAAAAAAAAAAAAAAAAAAAAAAAAAAAAAAAAAAAAAAAAAAAAAAAAAAAAAAAAACGUACAGUUAUAAAUGGAACUAUAAUGAACUAAUUAAUUAUCAGAAAUAGAUAUAUUCAGAAAAUAAUCAUUUUUAAUAUAUAAACUUUUUUUGAAUCAUAGAAAUUUUUGUUUUCCUAUUUUGAAGAUGGUUUAUAUCUUUCAAAAAUGAUUAAUAUAAUGUAAAAGUAUAUAAAAAAACUAUAUAAAGAACAGUGUAGUAUAUAGUAUCAUUAAGAUACAGAAUUUUGUCUCCUCAAAAUAGAAAAAAUAAAAAUUUGGUGGGAAUAAUGCCAACGUACUUGAGAUAGUCAUCCACAAUUUCAUCACGCAAACUGCACAGAUUCCAAACAAUAUAGGUAGAAUAUUGAUUAGUCUCACGUUGCAAAAGUAUCUAUAGAUAUUUUGAAUACAAACAUAAAAUUUGUUACACAUGAUCAACACGAUACCGUGUCAUCCAGUUUCACCGUCUAUCACGCACGCACACUACUCUCUCUCUCUCUCUAUCUAUAUCUAUAUCUAUAUCUAUCUCUAUCUUUCCAUGGAAAAUCAUGUCUCACCUCCUCCCCCUCUAUUUCUCUUUGACAUUCCCUCUUAACUAACUUAACCUCAUUAAUAAUACCAAUUCCCCCUAACCAAACACCACACAACUCUCCACAUACCAAGAAAAGUAAACUGACCAAUCACACUCAACUCUAUAACCUCCUUAGUACCCCAUCCUCCUCCACUUUAAAAGGAGCUAGUACUACAAAUUAAUCAUACCCUUCUUAAUUUACAAAGCGGUAUCUGAGCAAAUACCAGUUCCAACAAGUGAUAUAUAUAUAUAUAUCAAGAGCAGAUACCCAAAACUCGCCUCCAUGUUGUGCACGGAUACGACGGCAAACCCGUCCGCCUCCGACCGGAGAAGGCUCGCAGUCCACUGCAGCCCCGCGGUGGCCGACGUCGGCUGCCUCUACCCGCGGCCGAAGCUGCUAUCCUUCCUUAAAUUCACCCCCUCGACCAAACCCCAACUCCCUAACCACCACCACCACCACCACCACCACCACCACUCUUGCUCCUCCUCGUCGUCCUCGAACUCGAAGGCGGCGGACACGGCGAGAGCGGUGACGGUCGACUCGACGGACCCGUACACCGACUUCCGCGACUCGAUGCUCGAGAUGAUCGUCGAGAUGGGGAUAUACAGAAGCGACGAGCUGCGCCGGCUCCUCGGCCGAUACCUGGAGCUCAAUUCGCCGAGCCACUGCCGCGUUAUCGUCCGCGCCUUCGCCGAUGCCCACAGAGCGGCGUUCGGGCCCCGCUCGCUGGGUUCUCCGGCCUCCGACGCCUCGAUAUCCGCGACGACUGUGGUCAGUGCGCCGAUGAGGGUUUGUAGGGGAUAGCUGGGAUACGUAGGAGGGAGAGCAGGACACAGGUGAUCGAGAUUUUGGUUCUUUGGUGAUAUAUAUGUGGGGCUAGUCCCUGUACUAUCUAAUUUUUCAACUUAUUGCCCAUUUAUUUUUCUUGUAAAUAUAUAUACAGAGAAUAAAACUUAAAUACUUUACAAGCAAAAAAAAUGGGGCGUUUAUUUCAUUGAUAGUUUUAACAGUAAGGACAUAUAAUAAAAUUAAACCUUCUCAAUCUUUGUAGAUUUGUAACUUAUACCCUUUUUUUUAAAAAAAAAAAAAGUAUAUGUGUAUAGUUGGUACUUUGAAAUAUUUCUUGUAAAUUUGAGUACUUGAUAGACGAUAGAAUUAUUUGAUACCACUCCGCCGUCUCUAUUCCGACUGGGUGAAAAAGGUUCUGCACCGCAUGCGCCAAACACGCUGAACGGACAGAGUUUUUUCUAUCCGCUCAAUUCAUCACAAUUUGUAUAAUUCGGAGUUGUUAAAUAUGUCUCGAAUUCUAGUACCGCAAGAUCUUCUAACCCUAUUUUGUUUUAAUUAUCCCAUUAAGUUAAGUUUAGAUUAUGCCGAAUUUUAUUGAGAUAUUCCUAAUCUUAGUGGGUUUGUAUUCCUAAUCAUAUUAAGAUUUAACCACUAAAUAAAUAUACCCUUUCUGCUAUUGAUUUAGUGCGGAAGAUGAGAGAGGAAAUAUGGGUGUAUUUUUGGGAUUAGGGUUUUGUGAGAGAGGCAUAUUUUGUACAUCACUUUGAUUAUAAUAAAAAUCUCCGCUCCGUCUUUGCCCGUGGUUAGCCGAACCACGUAAAUAUUGUGUGUUUUAUUUUUCUUCUCUCUUUCUCGGAUCUCUUUUGGUAUUUUCGCAUCCGACGAACUAGAUCUUCUCGGUUUUAGUUCUAACAGGAGUUGAUGUAUAAACAGUUAUUAUUAUAUUAUUCUAGUUUACGAAACUAAUAUUUUAUAUAUGCUCACACUUUAUUUGUGAAUUGUGAAUAAAGUGUACGGUGGAUUGUUUAUAUUUUAUUAAGACUCUUGAUAUUAUAUUUAUCUCUUAAAACUCAAUUCAUAUUUUGGCCUCAUUAUCGAAUUCUAUCAAAAGUAGUUUUUAUCAACUUAGUUAUCAUUUGCAUCAUCGUAAUAUAUAUAAUGUCAGAAAAACUUGUUCGAUUACAUGAUUGUUUUGCAUGCACCGAGUCCUAACUUUAAUUUGUGAGUUGUGACCCGAACUAAAAAAUUCUAAAAAAUUUUUAGACUUUUAUCUUGCAAAUAGAAUAAAAGGGACUUAUAUAUAUAUAACCUCUAACACUGUUAAUAGUAUAUAAAUAUAGUAUUUGCUAUUAAUUUUUUUUUAACUCUUAUAUGUUUAGGAUUUACUAUUUGGUGGUGGUUCUUUGGCACGUUCGACAACAUGAUUCUUUCUGAUGCCGAUCGUCUUGUAUAUAUUUUUUGAAUUAGAGUUUGGUUUUCUUUUUUUUUUUGAGAGAGAGAGAUAGUAGCACGGUACCCGCUUCGUUUAUUUCAUUUAAAAAUUAACUUAGGUGAAAAUGUGAAUCAACUAGGAUUCGAACUUGGGACCUCGGAUAUCAAUCAUCAAACCCUUUGCCACUUGCUCUAGAGACAGUUGGUCAGAGUUUGGUUUUCAGUUUUAUUUUUGCAAUGGAGUCCUUACUUUUGGGAGUCGAAUUUAAAAGAUCUAAAAAAAACUUAUUCUUUUAUCUUGCAACCAAAAUAAAAGUGACUUGACCUUUAGUCUAGCUAAAGUACUAUUAAUACUGUAUGAAUAGCAUUUGCUAUUUAAAUUCAGAGCUAAAUUAUAUAAAAUUUUUCUUUCAAAAUCUAAUUUUUCAUUUUCUCUCCCUGUCAUUUAAAAACCUACACUUUGCUCCCUUAUAAAAUAAAAAAUGUUCACGGAGGGUACGUUGUGAAAUAUGAUGACAAAAUGACCAUUUUGCUCCUUACCAUUUUCGUCUCCUCCCUCAUCUCGCUCAUCCGCCGCCUCGGUUGGCCACGGUUCACGCUGCGAUCGGCUGCGAUUCCUCUCCAUUUUCUUCUCCACCUGCUCCCCUUCUCCUCCUGCACCCUCGUUGCCCCUCUAUUUCAGUGACAGUAGGAAGGAAAUCAAGGUGGGCGUGGAUGGAAAGGUGGGCAAGGGCAACAAGGGCGCAAGCGAGGCGGCGGAGGAGGGCGAGAGGGUAUUUGUGGGCGCGGACAGAAAUAUGGGUGAGGGCGAGGUAGUGAUGGAAGGCGAGUCGGUGAGGCGGCGAGGCGGAGGAGGGCGAAGCACAAUAGAGAGGGCGGAGGGUACAUUUUUGGCAUAAAAAAUAUUUUAUAACGUAUAACCCUAACGGUAGGGGGUGAUGUGAAUAUUUUUCAUUUUACAAUGGGACAAAGUGUAGGUUUUUAAAUGACAGGGGGGAAAGUGAAAAAUCGGGUUUUGACAGUGAGGUUUUCUAUAAUUUAGCCAAUUCAACUCUGAAGUUUGAAAGAUGGUAUAAAUUAUAAUUCAAAAUUACAAUUCAAAUUCAAAUAUUUUAUUUCAAGUUUGAGUUCAAAUUUAAAUUCUAAAUUUUGUUUUGAAUUCAAUUUUGAGACCAAAAGCUUGGACAUCACAUAUGAAAUUUAAAGUUUGAAUUUGAAUUCAAAUUUAAGGAGUUCGGCUACUACUGUUAUGAAUACGAACGUCUUGGUACUCAUAAGUCGUUUUCGAUGAUAGAGCUUCCAAAUCAACGAUCCAUACCGUUAAACAUUAUCUGGAGUAUCUACAACUUCUAGAAAUCAAAUUUCAUAAUUUUUUGAAAUUAUUUACCUUACGAUCGAAAGAUCUCAAAAUUGACAAUUUUUAAGAGCCGAUAUGGGAUAUUUGCUAGUUUAACGGUGUAAAAGAACCGAAAUCGAUUGAAUUUUUGAUAAAAAAUUUUGUUCACUGUCGAGAUAAAGAUCAAUCACUCUAAUCUUAAAUUGAAGGAUCAGAUCAUCCAUUUUUAGGACGUCAUUCAAUUUUGACCUUUCAUUUUACACCCGCCUGAUGGACUCUAUUAUGAUUUUGAAAAAUUAUGAAAUUUAUUUUUUAGAAAUUUUAAAUACUCUAAAUCAUGUUUAAUAGAGUGAAUCAUCGAUUCGGAAGCUCGAUCAUCGAAAAUAACUUAUAAGUAUUACACUCAUAAGAGUACAGUAGCCCUACUCCAAAUUUAAGCACUAUGCCUUAGCUAAUGCAGCAUUUUCACUAACUUGCGAAAUUCAAAACAAAAUCUAAACUUUGAAUUUAAAAUCCAAAUUCAAAAUUUUAAGAAGUUUGACUUUAAAAGCAUUAUUUGUAUUCAAAUUUACUUUCAAAUUCAAAUUUGAAAGUAAAAUUUUAAAUUUUGAAAUUUGAAUUCAUUUAUUAUGUUAAAUAAUACCAGUGAAGAGAUUUAAAAAAUAAAUCUAAUCUAAUAUUUAAAAAUAUAAUAUGAUCUAAUUAGAAAAGUCAUCCUCUAUAUAAAGAUAGCCCUGUCAUAUGGAAAUGCCAAACACAAUAAUGGACUAUUAUUUAUCCAAUCCAAUCCUAAUCCUAUCCUAUCAAAUUCCUACAAUUAUUCUUUCCAAUUUAAUCCUUAAUGCCAAAAAUGCCCUAUACAGAUAUAUGGGACUAUCUUAAUCAUGAAAAAGUCUAAACCGCGGCAAUCAUAUGCUGCAAUAAUAAUAUAUGCGAGAUGGUAUCUUCAAUCAAUCAAACUGUCUCUCUAAGAAUCACCCAUCCCAUCAUGAUUUUCAAAAAAAAAAAUUUGUUUUACUUUUUUCUUACAAGAAAAGAUUUGAUUGGUUGGACAUAAAUGAUCUGGUGUAACUGCUAUAUAGUAAAUUUUCUCUGUAGUUGCAUAGUGCAAGUUUACCACAUGACUACUAUUUUGGAGUACUCCAUUUCUUAAAGUGGAAUUAAUCCAUUUUGUUACUGUAGUUAGGAAUAGUGAGAAUUAGUUCGUAAUUAUAAGGGCAGUAAAUUCCACCAUUCCCUAUUAAAUCGAUAUUCUUGGGUUUAGGGUUCAGCGAACUAGUUCAAAAAUAAGGAGAGGAAUAGAUUCUUUUUUUUCUUUUUUCUUUUUUUGAGAGAUAGGUAGUAUUCUACCCGCUUCGUUUACUUCAUUUAGAAAUAAACUUAGGGCACAUUUGGUUCGCACUAUGAAAGAUUACUAGGAGUAAAAAAAUAUCCGAAAAUCUUAUUCCUAUUCAUCCUAUUACUAAGAAUGUAACAUUUCAGUAUUUGAUUCGUACGAUCAUAUUAUUUAGUCAUAUUAUUUAAAAUUAUAUAAAAUAUACAAUUAAUUUAUUUAUUUUUUAAAUUAAUUUUAAAUAAUACUAUAAAAAAUUUCAACAUCUUUUUAGAAAAAAGAGAGAGAGAAUAUAGNGUUAGAGAGAAUGAGAGAGUUGAAAUUUUAGAAAAAAAAGGGGAGAAAUAGUUUAGUUUAGAGAGAGAAAAAGAGUUGACGUUUAGAGAGAAAAAGGUAAAUUUACAGAGAGAUAUGAGGUUAGAGUAUAUAGGAAAAUAAUACCAACUAGUCGGCGGGUACCGACCGUCCCUAGAGCAAGUGGCAAAAAGCUUGAUGGUUGGUACUCAAGACUCAAGUUUGAACCCUAGUUGAUUCACAUUUCCAGUUGAGUUUAUUUCUAAAUGAAAUAAACGAAGCGGGUAGCGUGCUACCUAUCCCUCAAAAAAAAAAAAAAACUAGUCGGCGGGUAGAAAAAAAGAAAAAGAUUAGACAUAUUAUGAUUACCCAAAUUCAUUAAUUUGAGAAUACCCACCCUCCCUCAAAGGAAUGAUAUUAGUACUUUGGAAUAAAUCUCAUUUCUAAGUAAAUUCAGUAUUACAAACUAAAUUAUUUAGUGCGUUUAGCCAAACACCGUUAUAUUUUUUUAUUCCUAUUGGAUUACUAGAAAUCUUAAAACGAUAGCGCGAACCAAACGCACCCUAGCUGAAAAUAUGAAUCAAGUAGGAUUAUCUUGGGUACCAACCACCAAACCUUUUGUCACUUCUGCUAGGGACGGUCGGUAAGGAGAGGAAUAGAUUCAAUAGAAGGAAAAGGGUAUGAAGCACCGUUCCAAGAAUGAGGGGAUGAACAGGUUCGAUGAAAGAAAAGGAAUAGAAAGCACUAAUAAGUGGGUCCCACUUGCAAAAAGAAUCAGUUCAAUGUUGAAAUAUUGAUAGGUAGAUCCUACCGUCCCCAAAUUAAGCAUAGUAUGCCACGUGGACUCAAUUAGGGGGAUUAAGGGUGUUUUAUUAUAGAUUAUUAUAGAUUCUUUUGGGGAUAAACUUGGAAGAAAAAUAUAUUUCAUUUAGUUCCACGUGAAGAUAUAUACUUGUGCUUAGGGCACCAUGAAGAACUUGUAUUACUUUUCCUACUAGCACUACUCCUUAAUUUUAGUAUUUUUAGAGGUUGCUUGGUUGUAUAUACUUAAUUACAAAUAUAUUAGAAUUAAGAAUAUAUAUUACAUUACAAAUGCAGGUAUUCCAUUUGUAUUAAACUCCCAUGGCGCUCUAUGUGGUUGAUUGCUUGUAGUUGUACAGUGUCUUUGCAGAAUUUGUUGUUGUAUGGAGAUGAGGAGAUUACCUCAAAUGAAUAAAAUGAGUGGAAAUGUAAGAUAAGUUUUGCUUUUAUACUGUAGUUACUCUUUUCAGAUAUUGUAUUUUCAACUACGUCUAAUUUAAGUGUAGAUCAAAAUUUGCAGCAGUUUGACUUUCAUCUAAACCUUCAACUGCAAUAUCCAACUACAAGUACUGCAGUAAGUUAACUAAAUAUUUUUGACUUUUCUGCAGGUUGCUUCUGUAUUGCAACUUCAAAUGCAAUAUAUCAUCAAUUAAGCAUUAACUGCAGUUAAUGAGUCAAAUUUAUAAUAUUUUCAAUUAUUAAUGCUUGAUUUGCACAUCUUCUGUCGUAUAAAUAACCUCCUGAGGUAGCCAAACCAUUACUCUCAUCACAUAUGUAUAGAUGAUUCUAAGUCUAAGUCCAGCAAUUUAUUCAGUGAGAAGAACCUUUAACUGGUUUAUGGUGACAAUGUAUCCCAUGAAACUAUAAAUUGAAAGCAUCAUGCCAUCUAACUAGGGCUUCAACAAAUUGAUUUGCUUGUGCAAUGAAUGUGAAUUUAUGUGGGAGUUGUAGAAAGGUACAAAAAAUUAUUCAAUAGCAAUUUUUUUCCCCCUUUUUUGUUUGAUGUUAAACUUCAUAGACAAUUACUUAUAAAAGGAUAGAGUUUGAUUACAAUAUUGCACGAUUUUGAAAAAAAGAAAAAAACAAAAACAAAGCACAUUUUUAUAUGAAGAGACAAAAACCCAUGAAAUCAAAUUAAAUCGAUAAUUUUGAUUUGGUUUGAUUUGAAAAGGUUUUCAAACAAUAAAUUUUUGUUUAAUUUGGAAUAGAAGAUUUAAAAAUUAAACCAACACAAACCUGAAACCUGAGUAUAUUUUUUCAUACAAAAUUAUGCAUACUUGUAUGUAUGCAUUCGUAUAUAUAUUGGUAUAGGUAUAAAUAUGUAUAAAAAUAUAACAUUAAAAUAUAAAGUUACUGCUUAACACACCAUAACACCAGCUUAAUCCUAAAUAUUAAUUUUGAUAAAUUAAAAAACUAAAAAGAAAAAGACCAAUAAACUAUACAAAUUAUCUUUAAAAAUUCAACUGCUCAAACCCACAAACGAAACUGAAACCAAAUUAAAAAGUUUGAUUUGGUUUGAUUUGGUUUUGAUUUAUACAAAUUGAAAUUGUGUAACAAGAAUCAAAUCCCUAAUUAUAAAUAAGAUUUUUUUUUUCAAUAAAAGAGUAAUACUAGGGAUACCUGUAAUGUACCCAUAUAAGCUAAUGAUGUGAAGCUAAUGAUGAUGAUUUAUCUUUCACUAUUUAUGUGGAAUGUCACAUUAAUUAUCAUUGAAUUUUAGAUUUUGAUGUGUAUCUUAAAUAUGCAUAUUUAAAAUAGGAGUUUUGCUUAUUUAUUAGUGACAACUAUUCUUAUUGAUUUCUAAAAUUUAUUCAAAUAUUUUCAAAUCCCUAGAGUUACUAAUGGUAAUUGAAUUUUAGAAGGGCAUUUUGAUAAUUUUAGAGUAAAUUAAAAAUUUUGAAUAGUUGUCACUAAUAAAUAAGCAAAACUCCUAUUUUAAAUAUGCAUAUUUAAGAUACACAUCAAAAUCUAAAAUUCAAUUACCAUUAGUAACUCUAGGGAUUUGAAAAUAUUUGAAUAAAUUUUAGAAAUCAAUAAGAAUAGUUUGGUCGACCAAGGUAUAAAACAUAUUUUUAAAAUUUUGAAGAAUAUAUUAAAUAUUAUCCCUUUAAAUAUGAGUUACGUCCUAAGACGCUCAUAAUACUAGCAAUUGUAAGAUAUGCAUCAUGAGCAUUUAUAUUUGAAAUUAUUACCUGUAAAUCUACAUAUAUAAUUUUACAUCCUUUGUAUCUUAGAAUUCAUAAUUCUUUUCAAGUUUAGUAAAUUUUUUUUAAAAAAUUGAUAAGGCUAGGGAGGGAAUAUGCUGUUAGACUUGAGUCAUAUGACCCAUUUCGGUGUGGCUCUAUGUGACAACCCAAUAGUUCCACAUCGGAUGGGAAUAGAGUUGUCAUUGGGUUUAUAAGAGGACUCUAUCCUAAUAAUAAUAUAUGAGCUUAAGCAUUAUGGGCUAGUGUUUGGGGUCCAACGAGUUAUUAUUGUUAGUGGAUUAGAUCAUUACAUUUUGUAUCAAAGCUAGUUCAUCAGCCAGAAGUGUGAGAUGAGUCUUGGCUGAGUUAGGGUCGGAAUGAUGGACUAAGCCAGGAUCGGUGAUUGACAGGCUAAGUUAGGGUCGAAAUGACAAAGGCUAGCGAGAUAAAUCUCACAUCGCCUGGUGAUCUUAGGCUAUGUGUGUUUAGGGCUAACAAACACAUCAGGGCCUAAAUAGGAGGAGUCUGUGACAUUCCAAUAAUCCCACAUCGGAUGGAAAUAAGGUUGUCAUUGGGUUUAUAAGAGGACUCCACCCUAAUUGACAAGGACGUCCUACAUCGGAUGAGAAUAAAGUUGUCAUUAGGUUUAUAAGAGGACUUCACCCUGGAUGGGAAUAAGGUUGUCUUUGGGUUUAUAAGACGACUCCACCUAAUUGACAAAGAUGUCAGGGACUAAAUAGGGGGAGUCUGUGACAUCCCAAUAGUCUCACAUCGGAUGGGAAUAAAUAGGGGAAGUCUGUGACAUCCCAAUAGUCCCACCGGCGACCUCAGCCAUCUAACCCUAGCCGCACCCAACCUCUCUCUGUGAGGUGCCGCACACCCUCCGGCCACCGGCGACCCUCCCCCGGCCGGCCAAACCUGCUGCCACCUCCCUCUCUCUCUUUCCCUCAAGCUCUCCCUCUCUAUAUCUCCCUCUCUAGACCCGAGGCCACUAGGGGAGUUGUGCUCUGGUGGACCUUCCUCUCCCCUAUUUCCUGGACCUCCGGCGACCUCCCCGGCCAUCCCUGGCCAUCCCUGUGCCGCCAGAAAGCCGCCGCAGCCGCCGUUCUGCUGGUUGGCGUUAUCCCUGGUAGUGGCUGCCGAGCAUCCUUGAAGCACCGCCGUCGCUGCUGCCACCUCCCUCCGGCCUCAAGGGACCCGCCGCUAUCGUUCCCAACCUAUCCCAGCCGUUGUCGUUGCUGGGAGGAGCUGCCGAGCCCGAGCUCUUAACUCGGGUUAGCCUCACUUGCUUCCAACGCCGCCGCCGCCGCUCCUCACAGUCGGCGAAGGUGAGCACGGUGUUCCUCACCUUCCCCGCAUCCACUCCUAGCCCGUGCGCGUGACGUCGUGCCGCCGGCAGCCGGCCGGAGCAAGCCUGCUUUGGCCAAGCCCGAAAUGGAGCAUUUCUUAGGUUGUUCACUAUUUCAAGCAACCCGAGGCCUCCCGAUCUUUAAGAAAGGGAGCACGAUGAUCGUGACUCCUCACUGAUUAUCGUGCUCACCUCAGGUUCUGUCGAGAAGGCUUCGUUUCGCAUUUUUCGGCGAUGUCACUCCUUUGGGUCCAAUAUGCUCCGCAGUCGCUUUUGAUGCCUCGUACAGGGAGCAUGGGCUUCGCUAUAAUGAGACCUUGCUGUUGGUGCCGUCGGUUGUUCUCAAAAUCGCGCGAUAGCGGUGAUGUUGCCUUUUUAGUGUGUAAAUUCAUGAGUUUAUGCUAUUUAUGUAUGGUUUGAGGGCUUCCAUGCAAUUGUCACAGCAUGAGCUACCUCGGGCAGUGUGAGACCACCUCGCGUGACCUUCUAACUGAUUGUCCAAGUCCUUGAUGCUCUCGCGAGAUCGAAUCGUGUUCCGGAGCAUUUUUCUGACGAAAUUAUCGACAGAACGUGUUUAUCAGUGUGGGACUCGCUUUGUGAAGUUGUGGAUGCCCUAGUUUUGUUGCUGAGCCUUGUUGGCUAGUUUUUCUUGCUGUCUCGAAGUUUCAGAGACAACGGAUGAGCGACAGAGGGUUCCAGUGCCAAAAACGACAUUUUCGAGAACCCAGAAUGUCAUUACGGAUGCGUUUAUGUCUUUAUGCACCCUAGACUUGUGUUUGCUGUCCGACCACCUAAAUUGGUGUGCUUCCGGACAGCGGGUGACUUGGGUUGCUUAUUGGUAACUUUCGGGGUAUUUCUUUGAGUUCGAAAUUGCUCCGGUGGAUUUUUCUAAAAUUUCGGCCAUUUCAGGAUUAUAAGUUUAGCGUUUUUGAGUCGACUCGAUGGACUAUGACUUGGUAGGUAUUUCAUAGGUGCAGUCAAUGUUCCUGCGAUCCUUUGGUGUUAGGCUCUUCUCCAGUUCUGGUGGGUGCUUCGAUCCGCAGUUGGUACAGUGGACUAGCUCGGUGAUACUUCUCCUUUCCCUUUCCUUGCAUAUUAUGGAUAAGCGUGAUUCCGCUCGGCUUCCAGUUAUUGUUCUCUAACUUCCAUCCCUGCAUAUGAUAUUAGUAGAGUGGUGUGGUGUAUUUUGUAUGAUCUUGUGGUGCGACCUGAUUGGCCUUUGUUGAUCGGCUCGAUGAUCCGAGUGAUUUGUUGGACAUAUGUUAGUUGUUGCUAUUCUUGGCUUGUCGUCGUCCUGUAGAUUGAGCAUUUUGUAUUGAUCGUCACAGCUCAUUUAGCACUUCAUGUAUACUAGUGGUUUGGUCACCGUGGGGGUGUUCUUUUUCGAAAGGUGAUCGUCUUCUCGACCCGUGAGCCUUUUGCCAGGUGUUUGCAAAGGUUGCGUGCCUGGUAGGUGAGCAUACUGUGACAUAGCCUACGAUCUGCAAAUCUAUAGGGCACAGUGAUAGGGUUUUCAGUUUAUCUACAGUUGAUGCAUAUGUUUAUUGUUUGUAGUAGCAGUAGUUGUUCAUAUUUGUUUAUAUAUAUUCUCUAUUAUUCGUUACUGUACUUGUUAUAUACAUAUCUAUAUGUUGUUUUUCCUUAGCCGGUGCAUACACCUUACCUUUGUCGGCUUGCGGUACCCACUGGGAGGGGAGACAUGUUUACAUAUUCUCAUCCCCGCCAUUUUUCAGGUGAUCUCGGUGGUGGGAGUCGGGACAUUGUGUGAGGCGCGAUAGCUAGUGAGCUAUAGAGGUUCCGACCAGUUUUCACUCGAUUUUCGGUUAUUCUAUCUUGACCCUUCUCAUCUUAUUGGUUAAUAAAUUAGAUUUUAUGUGGUUCAGUUAUUCAGCUAUUUGGUGGUUUUUGAAUAUUGUAAAUACUUGUUUAUUCUCAAUGAAUCAUGGUGACAUAUGUGGUUUAUUUGAGACACGCGGUUGAUGGUUUUAUCGUACGUGAUUUUCUACUCCUCAUGGUAGCUGGCUUUUCAAAAGUGAGUUUUAGUGUGGGAAGUAGUUUUCAAAUGACUUUCAAAUUUAUCGAUCUUUAGUGUUUUUAAAUAUAGUUUUCGGGUAGGAAACACUUUUAAAGAAUAGAACUGAUUGCUGUAAUGUGUAUUGGCAUCAUCCUUCACCUAAGGAGUAUUUAGAGUAUGCAUCAUCAUAAGGAUUGUUAGCUGAAUGAUUAUCUGGCAUCCACAUUGUGUAUGUUGUUUGUGUGAAUGGAUGAAUGCGUUGUUGUGUAUGUUAUAUUGGUACGCCGUGUAGAUACAGGAAAGACUGUCUGUGUGGACAAAGAGAUUUGUAUAUCUGUGGCAGGUCUAUUACGUUUUGGAGACAAGUUGUAAUUUUUAAAAAAAUAUGGGCAUUUUCGCUGACUUUGUUUCAAAUUGGCCCUUUUUAUUCAAAAAGCUUUACAAAAAGGACCUCGGGCAAUGACAAAUCCACAUAUUUUCCAACAGUAAUUGGUAUCAAAGACUGGUUAUGGUCUUGGUAUUUGAUUCGAUCACUUUCUUCUUUUAAUAUUUACUUUAAAAUUCUUCCAAAUAAAAGAAUUAGAGGAAGAAAGUGGAAUUAUUUUCAUGUUUAAUAUCGUAUAGUAGUUGAUGGUUUUUGAAUGAAAUGAUACUUUAAUUAUUUCUUGCUAUUUUUAAUCGAGAAUGUUUUAGUCCAAUACCAUAAGAACAUAUAAUAUGUUAUAUCUUGGAUGCAUGUGUUUGGAUGAAAAUUAAUCAAGGAUCUCAUGUGUAUCACAAAUUUAUUGUUACUGUUUCUUUUGGAAGAAAUAGUAGAUGACAAUGAUUGCCUAUUUUCAUGAAACAUGUCUUGUAAACAUCUCAUUUCAGGUUCGAAGUAGGAAACUCUCGAGUGUGAGAUUUGUGUGGUGACUAUCUAACACUAUCAUCACGUUAUGCUUCAACUAUUCUUAAGUAUAAUAAAGAUCCGGUCCUCGCAGCCAUUAAUAACUUGUAUAGUUCUACUCUUUACAUCCUUUUUUUUUUUUCAAAUAGAUCAUAGGUAUCUUAACACCUAGUGUGUAAUCUUUUGAUAUAUGUUGUUUUUUAUGGAAUACUUAAGUAUUAUAUCUAUCCUAUAAAACCUGUUAAGAUCUGUCAAGCCUAUAUUGUUUGAUGCCAUGAAGGAAGAGCUAGACUCCAUGAAUAAAAAUCAUGUUUGAUAUCUUGUAGAUUCUCUUGAGAAAGAUAAACCUAUUUGGAUGCAGAUAGAUUGAUAUACAAAAUCAAGAGAAACUCUAAAGGUGAAAUCGAAAGGUACAAGGCCAAACUUACUGCUCAAGAUUUCACUCAAAGAGAGAGAGCAUAGACUAUAAUGAGACAUUAUUUCCGAUUUCUUCAAAAAACUUAUUUAGAAUAAUUUUGGCCCUUAUAGCUUAUUAUGAUUUUGAACUACAUCAAAUGAAUAUGAAAACGACCUUUUUGAAUGGUGAUCUAGAAGAAGAGGUAUAUAUGAGACAAUCUCAGGGUUUCGUUGCAAAUGAUAAAAGUCAUAAAGUAUGCAAAUUAAGAAAGUCAAUAUAUGGACUUAAACAAUUCUCCCGUCAGUGGUUUCUAAACUCAAUAGGUUUAUCCUAUCAUACAGGUUUACACUAAAUACUGUUGAUCGGUGCAUACACCUAAAAGUCAGUGGUAGUAAGUUCACAAUAUUAGCAUUAUGUUGGUGAUAUAUUGUUUGCCAAUAAUGACUUAGGAAUAUUGCAUGAAACAAACAGAUUUUUUUUUCACAAAUUUUGAGAUGAAGAAUAUGGGUGAAGCUGGUUAUAUUUCAACAUUGAGAUUCAUCGAGAUAGACAUAAAGGCAUUCUUGGUUUAUCUCAGAAGGCUUAUAUUUCUAAAGUCCUUGAAAUAUUUGGAAUGAUAAGUUGUUUUUCUGGACCUGCACCUAUUGUGAAGGGAGAUAGACUUAGCUUUAAACAGUGCCCGAAGAAUGAAAUCGAAAGAAAGCAAAUGAGGAACAUACCAUAUGCUUCGGUAGUUGGGAGUGUACAGUAUACUCACACGUGUAUUCAUCCAGACAUUUCUUAUGCUGUUGGGUUACUUGGUCGUUUUUAAAGUAACCAUGGUAUAGAACAUUGGAAGACUGGCAAAAAAGUCAUGCUUUAUCUUCAAGGAACACGAGAUUACAUGCUCACAUAUCAGAAGUCUAACCAUCUCGAGCUUGUAGGUUACUCAGAUGCAAAUUUUGCGAGGUGCCAAGGUAGUAGGAAAUCGACAACUAGUCUUAUAUUCCUACUUGCAGGAAGUGCCAUUACAUGGAGAAGUAUCAAACAAAAGACAAUUGCUCCAUCCACAAUGGAAGCUAAGGUUAUAGCCUACUUCAAAGCUUCAUCACAGACUAUUUGGCUAAGAACUUUAUUAUCGGUCUUAAGAUUGUGGACUCUAUAGUAAGGCCACUGCAGAUAUACUGUGAUAAUGAAGUUGUUGUUUCUUUUGCUAACAGCAACAAGAGCCUAGUUCAUGCUGGUAUCUGAAUAUAAAGCUCUAUGUGAUUGAUGAGCGAGUUAAUAAUCAUAUAGGAUCUGUAGAUCACAUUGGGAUAUAGUAUGUACUUGCAGACCCAUUUACCAAAGGGCUACCACUAGAGUUAUACAUAGUAAAGAAUAUGGGUCUCACUAGUUUAUUUUACAUAUAAGUGAUUUACAUUAUGAUAAUUAUGUGAUUAUAGUUGGUUUGUAUGAUUAUCUAUUUUAGUAUUUUGGACCAUCGAAUAGGUUUAAAAUUUUUCUAUUCAUAAAGUUUUCCACAAUAAAGUAUACGUACAAGAAAGUAUUGUGGUGAAUAGAAGGUCGUACUAACUAUUUUGGAUAUUUGCCGCUAUGACUCAUAUUAUUAAUACUUGUGGCAAAGUAUAAAGUUUUCCAUAAAUGUUGGAGUGAAUGUUGAUUCUCUUUAAAAGUGGUGCCACAUUUGGAUUUAUGAAUUUUCUAAUCCCAUCAAUAUUUUAUUUAAAAAUAUAUAUGUGGAUAUUAUUUUGUCUAUAAGUUGUGAUCAUGUCAAAUUGGUCAAGUGGGAGAAUGUUAGACUUGAGUCAUAUGAUCCAUUUCAGUGUGGCCCUAUUUGAGUGACUUGCAACCUAUUGGAUGGGGUUAGCAUUAUUACCCACUCCAUUAAGUUGUGUUAGGAAAAAUUAUCGCACUGAAAAUUCAAUUGUGACUAAUGAUCUAACUAAUUUUAUGAUAAAGAUAAAAUCGAACUUACAGAUAAAUGUUAAAAUCCAAAUAAAUAAUUUAACUAAUCUGAAAGUGUGCUUAGCACUACCCUAAGGAGUUUCCCGUCCUUCCUGCGGGAUUAACCAGAAACAUCGUCCUAAUGUACGAUUGGAAUUCCUCUUCCUACGAGCACGAACAUGGAAGAGGUUGACCGAGACUCUUCAACACCCAAUGAUAAAAAGAUCAAACAAAAUAAAAUUAAAAUUAAAACAAAUAAGAAAUUCUUUUCUCUCCCUUUUUUUCUUUUAUUUCCUUCUACAAUGUUCAUAUUCCAUGAACAGUAGAGAAGGCGGUAUAAAUAGGGGUGUGAAUGGAACGUUGGAGGCGCCCAACGUUCCACUCCAUUAAUCCCAUUUAAUGUCGUAUGUUCCAACCUAUUAAUUAAAUAAAUAAAUAAUAAUAAAUACUAAUGUAAAAUAAUUCGAAUGAUUAAAUUUAAUAAAUUCAUCGACUAAUUUGAUUGUAAUCAAAAUGAUUUAAUUCUUAAAAAAAUUAAAAAAAUAUGGGAAGUAGUAUAGAGGACUAUUGUGGAAUAAGGUAUACUCGAGAGGAUCUCCAUGCAUUUUUGACUGUAAUAAAGUAAUAAUAAUAAUAAUAAUAAUAAUAAUAAUAAUAAUAAUUUAAUUAAGAAAGAUUCGGAGCUUUGGAGUCGGGGCACCACUGCUGGAAGCAGUAUCUCGACUGCAGUUUUUUGGCAGCACAAGAGGGGCUUCGAGAUUUCGUACGCGACGAAUCGUCCUCGCGUCCCCUUUCCAAUUUUACCCUCGCUCGCCCACCGGUUCGAAUGAGCCGGCCGGUUCAUUCACCACAAAAAAAAAACCUAGGCGGUUUGAUCGAUUCCCCUUUCCCAUUUCCCAUUUCCACACUGGUUUGUGUGUGUGCGUGCGUGUGUGUAUAUAUAUAUGUAUAUAUUUGAGGAGAUCCACCUCAUUUCUCCAUGUAUUUGUCUUGGGUUUUCUCUGUUUUAUCGAUUUAGAAGGUGAGAGAUCUACGAGGAGGAGGAGAUGUGUAAGAUAUCGAAAUUCGACGAUAUUGGCUAACUUUGGCCAAAUGGACCAAAGUGGGCGAUUAAACGAUUUGGACAAGUUCCAUUUGGUAUUUCAACAUGUUUGGAAGAGUAAAAAUGAGUUCCAAAAGUGUUGGAAUAGUUUUAGCGUUGUUGGACGCGAAAAGAAAUCGAAACAGAUCGAGAAAUAGCUUUCUGGAGCUGGUGUNGUUGCUUAGCCUUGGGCGGACAGGGGAGACUCUGUCCGUUCGGCGGUCGCGCACGCCGCCCUCGAAUCGGACCAAAUUGGUACCGUUUUCGGGCGGUGCGGUCUGGGGCGUGACAAGAUGGGAUUGAAUGAUAAUAAAAGAGUUAAUAAAAUAAAAAUAGUACUUGAAAAAUUUUGGAUUUUUCACCAACAAGUUGAUUAUGAAAAAAUGGUGAAAACAGUUAUGGAGAGUUGGAUCCACUACCUCACGAAUUGGUAGUUAUCCCCAUUCAACUUCUUGGUAGUUAUCCUGAUGAUGGGAAAGGAGGAAUAGUGAUAUACAUAUGGAAUGGUCAUUUCCCUUUAAUGGUGUGAAAAAAUUACAAGAUUGUGAACCCAUCAUAGAAAAAAUUACAAGAUUGUGAACCCAUCAUAAUUUCACCAUUGUAUGAGAAAUAACCAUUGCAGUUACAUAAUUGCAUUCCGAUUAGUUCAAUGAGAACCAUAGGAGUCGAUCAAGAUGCAGGAUCGAGAGGUGCUCGGAGACGAGAUUAAAGUGUUUAGGACGAUUCUCAAUUGCAAUUUCACUAUGGCAUUAGGUAUAAUCCGCAUGUUUUCCAACAUAUGCGCUUUGAUGAAUGAGGUAUAAAUUUUCUAUCUAAUUUAUAUCUAAUUUAUGGAUGUACAAAUAACAUUGCUGUUUAUAUUCAAAAGGGUUAAUUACGCUAACAACUCGUGAAUUUUUGCUAAAACUCUACUUUUGCUCUCACUUCUCCAAAAUAAACUUAAUUUAGUUAAUUAGUACCCUGUGAACUUUUAAUAAUACGUCAAAUUGGGUCGUCGCACUAUUUGAUGUUAAGUUCAUAGACAUAAAGACGAUAUUUAUUACAUGACAUUUGCAGUGAAAUUGAGCUUUGCUCUGAAAAGUAUAAAUAUUUGCUUUGUUACAUGUUAAGCUCCAAUCUGUAUCUUUUCUGCAUACAUGGGUUAACAAGUUUGCUUAUCUGGUAUUCAGAUUAUUUUUUCAUCAAUAAAAUCUACAUCAAAUGACAAAAUAGAUCAAUUUAAUAUAUUUUUGAAAAAGGUUAAAAAAUAAUUAAGAUAUAAAGUAAAAUUUUGGUGAAAGUUCGGAACUACUAAUGCAACUUUCAAAAUGGUCUAUUUAUGCGGCCAAUUUAGCAUUAAAAUUUUUGGAAAAGCAUAACUCAAUCAAGAUGGGUUGAAAAUCUCAUUGAACUCGGUAAUUUUUAUAAUAGGUGUGGAAAAUCUUAAAGGUCUGUUUGUUUUGGGUUGAAAUGAAUUUUCGGUUGAACUAGAGUUCAGGUAGAAAUUGCUUCAUCUCCGCUAUUUAUUUCUAGUUGUGGAAGUGAAGUUCUGUCAAUUCUGUUAUUUGUUUGGCAGAAAAUAAAUGACGUAAAAAAUACAGUUCUCCACUUUCUCUAUUUGUUUCACCGAAAAUUAUUCAAUCUCCACACCCCUGGCAACCUCUUACAUAAUAUUAUUGUCUAUUUUCUAACUUAAUAAUAAUAAAUUAUAAUAAAUAAAAAAUAAUGUAAUUAUAUGUCCAUAAAAUUAUAAAAUAAAAUUUAAAAUAAUUAUAUUAACUUUUUUGUAUAUAAAUUAUAAUAAUGCAACAAAUAAAAUUCUAAAGUUAAAGAAUUAUUAACAUUUAACAAAUUAAUUUUCGUCGUUUUUUAAAUGUGCAAAUUAAAUAAAAGAUAUACUGAAACUUAACUAACCAAAUUUCAUCAUAUUUGAAACAUACAAUCUAAAUUAAAAAAUUAAUUGCUUUCACAAUUAAAUAUAUUUGAAUGAAAUACAAGUAGCAUUACUCAAGAUAUUAUACCCAAAAUAAUAAAAUGUAUCAUGCAUACCAAUAUCACAUACAAAAUAACAAUAUCAUAUUCAAAAUAGGAGGGAAGAGAAGAAGAGAGAGAGAGUUAAAAAAAAAAAACAAACAUUCCUUCACUUCACCCCAUGAGAGAGUAACCCUAAACAUCACCGUAAUUAAGUUCACAUUCUUUUUUCCUUCACGUCAACGGAAUUGAACUUUCGAUUGUAGUAAUAUUACGGUAAAUCAAACAGUGGAAAUGAUCAAGUUUCGUUGAAAAUCACUUCCUUUCUCCCCACUUACAAAACAAACAGGCUCUAAACAGCUAUAAUUUUUCGUCCAAGUAUCUAUUUUCAGCAUCCAACACUAAUUCGGAAAAUAAUCUCUCAAAAAAAAAACACUAAUUCGGAAAAUACUUUUCGAUAUCUACGGUUGAACAUCAAAGUCAUUCUAGCCGAGUUUGAGGCCCAAAUUCAACUGCUUAGGGCUUCAUUUUCACAUUUUUAGCUUAUUUUUGAGAAGUUUUCUAUUUUUUCUAUUUUGAGCCCAGUUCUUUAGUUAUUUCUGAUCAAUUUAGGUUUUGAGAUAUAUUACAAUUUAUUAUCUUUAUAAUAGGAUUUAGAUGUUGAUUCUAUAUAUCUUGUCUGUUUAGUUAGUAUAAUUAGUUUUUAUGGUUGAUUAAUGAUAUUUUCGUCUUUGUCGAAGAAUUAUGUUUUUAGUG
rnacentral:lncRNA from 1 species